CGCUUUGGAAAUCUUGACUUGCUUUUAUCAUUGGUACAUUGAAGAAAGUCCGUCUCUGAGACGUAUGACUAUGAUGAGGGAAAAGGGAAGGCGACAGGCCAUUAGAGGCCCAGCAUUCAUGUUCAACAACAGGGGCACCAGUCUUACGGCUGAAGAAGAGCGCUUUCUAGAUGCAGCGGAGUAUGGGAACAUACCUGUGGUGCGCAAAAUGCUGGAGGAGUCAAAAACACUGAAUGUCAACUGUGUUGACUACAUGGGCCAAAACGCCUUGCAGCUUGCUGUAGGGAAUGAACAUUUGGAAGUGACAGAACUUCUAUUAAAAAAAGAGAACUUGGCACGGAUUGGGGAUGCCCUGCUGCUCGCAAUCAGCAAGGGCUACAUUAGGAUAGUGGAAGCAAUUUUGAAUCAUCCUGGGUUUUCAGUAAAUAAGCGACUGACUCUGAGCCCUUGUGAGCAGGAGCUCCAGGAUGAUGAUUUUUAUUCCUAUGACGAAGACGGUACCCGCUUUUCUCCAGAUAUCACUCCCAUAAUUUUAGCUGCCCACUGCCAAAAAUACGAGGUCGUGCACAUGCUGUUGAUGAAAGGAGCAAGGAUAGAAAGACCUCAUGAUUAUUUCUGCAAAUGUAAUGACUGUACUGAGAAGCAAAAGCAUGAUUCUUUCAGUCACUCUAGGUCAAGAAUAAAUGCAUACAAAGGACUGGCUAGUCCGGCUUAUCUGUCGCUCUCCAGUGAAGAUCCAGUACUCACUGCUCUAGAACUCAGCAAUGAACUUGCCAAGUUGGCCAACAUUGAAAAAGAAUUCAAGAAUGACUAUCGCAAGCUGUCUAUGCAGUGCAAGGAUUUUGUGGUUGGUGUUCUUGAUCUUUGCCGAGACUCGGAAGAAGUGGAGGCCAUUCUGAAUGGGGAUUUGAAUUCUGAGCCAGUUGAAGCACAGAGACAUAGAGCAUCACUGAGCCGUGUGAAGCUGGCCAUUAAGUAUGAAGUCAAAAAGUUUGUGGCCCAUCCAAACUGUCAGCAACAGCUACUGACUAUCUGGUAUGAAAAUCUCUCAGGAUUACGGGAGCAGACCAUAGCUAUCAAGUGUCUGGUUGUGCUGGUUGUGGCAUUGGGCCUUCCAUUUCUAGCCAUUGGUUAUUGGAUUGCACCAUGUAGCAGGCUUGGAAGAAUUCUUCGAAGCCCAUUUAUGAAAUUUGUGGCACAUGCAGCAUCCUUCAUUAUUUUCCUAGGCCUGCUCGUGUUCAAUGCUUCAGACAGAUUUGAAGGUAUAACAACGCUGCCGAAUGUCACUGUUACCGACUACCCUAAACAGAUCUUUAGGGUGAAGACUACCCAGUUCACCUGGACAGAAAUGCUGAUCAUGGUAUGGGUACUUGGUAUGAUGUGGUCAGAAUGCAAAGAACUGUGGCUGGAAGGACCCAGGGAAUAUAUUUUGCAGUUAUGGAAUGUUUUGGACUUUGGGAUGCUGUCCAUUUUCAUUGCCGCUUUCACAGCGAGGCUUCUGGCAUUCCUUCAGGCCACAAAAGCACAACAAUAUGUGGACAACUACAUUGAGGAGAAUGACCUCUCUGAAGUCACACUUCCUCCAGAAAUAGAAUAUUUUACUUAUGCUAGAGACAAAUGGCUCCCAUCUGAUCCUCAGAUAAUAUCUGAAGGCCUUUAUGCAAUUGCUGUUGUUCUUAGCUUUUCUCGGAUUGCAUAUAUCCUGCCUGCAAAUGAGAGUUUUGGGCCCUUGCAGAUUUCACUUGGAAGGACUGUUAAGGACAUCUUCAAGUUUAUGGUCCUUUUUAUUAUGGUAUUUCUUGCAUUUAUGAUUGGAAUGUUCAUACUGUAUUCCUACUACCUUGGAGCUAAGCUAAACCCAGCCUUUACAACAGUGGAAGAAAGUUUCAAGACCUUAUUUUGGUCAAUAUUUGGCUUGUCUGAAGUAACCUCUGUUGUCCUCAAAUAUGAUCAUAAGUUCAUAGAGAACAUCGGUUAUGUUCUUUAUGGCAUAUACAAUGUAACGAUGGUGGUAGUUCUGCUCAACAUGCUGAUUGCUAUGAUCAACAGUUCAUACCAAGAAAUUGAGGAUGACAGUGAUGUAGAGUGGAAGUUCGCUCGUUCUAAACUUUGGUUAUCGUAUUUUGAUGAUGGAAAGACGUUACCUCCACCAUUCAGUCUUGUACCAAGCCCCAAAUCUUUUUUCUAUUUCAUCAUGAGGAUCAUUAACUUUUCUAAGUGCAGGAGGAGACGGCUACAGAAGGACAUUGAAAUGGGAAUGGGCAAUUCGAAAUCCAGGUUAAACCUUUUCACUCAGUCGAACUCGAGAGUUUUUGAAUCACACAGUUUUAACAGCAUUCUCAAUCAGCCGACACGCUAUCAACAAAUAAUGAAAAGACUGAUAAAACGCUAUGUUCUGAAAGCACAAGUGGACAAAGAAAAUGAUGAAGUGAAUGAAGGUAAGAAAGAGACUGCAUUUGCAAUAUUCAGAGACAAUUUUUGUCACGUUGUAUUAGGAAUCGGUAUUACAGUGGUGCCUGAAGGUUCCAGGUGAAAAGAGGGUUUGUUUCUACUUCAGAUGCACUGAACUCAGAUAGACAGUAGUGGAAAUAUACCUGUGACAACAAAAAGGGGAUAAGCAGGACCAAAGAAGUAGAACUAAGAAAUAUUAUGGGCCCCAUUUUACAGGUAGGAAACAAGACCACAGACAUGACACAUUAAGUACAGAGGAAAUUUGUGAGGAAGCCGCUAGCUGUAUUCAUACUUCCAGAGACCUAAUUAGAGCUGCAGGACAUCUUUUUCUCUGUGUUAUUCAGCUGAAUACACCAUUUACCAUUUUACACCAUGAUCUACUUGUACUACCUUCCUUCAUAAAGCUGUGCGGAAUGUUCAUCUGUGAGUUGCACAUCAUUAAACAAAGCUGCAUAAAGUUAGCUGCAUGGUGAGAAAAAUGACAACAGUAGCCACUAUGUAAGUGGGCAACCAGAGAUCUUUUGAGAAAUGAUGGAUCUGAGCUUGGUGUCUGUUGACAGUGCGGAACUUCCCUGGUAGCAGCGAGGGGUGCAUGCUCCAGGUGCACACCCCGACUCCCCAUUAGGAUGAGAGUAAGAUGAAUGUUGUCCUCCUUCCUGCAGCCUUCCAGGAAUGAAACACAGGCCUACAGGCUGAAAAAUAACCUCUUGAGCUCUGGGCAGGUCCCCAAACAAAAUAAUAGGGAUGUGUACAACAUGGGGCAUAUUUGCUCUGCACUCUAGCUAAAGGUUAUCAGGCAAUAGAAUGGCGUCCCUUUCAGGGCUGGCUCUGCUCAUGUAAAUGUAACACCCCAGCAACGGUUUUGUUCCCCACAGGCUGGAGAUUAUAAUCAUCAUGGUUGGGUCAGUAAGAAAUCUGUGUGACCACCACCAGAAAAACAUACCUGCUUAGCAUAAUUAGUUCUGAUCCAGGCUAGUUUGGUUGGUUUUGGUGCACCGGGAAUGCUUAACCCAAGCCACCCUGCUGGCAGCCUUGUGCUCUCCAGCUGGUUUGCCGCAAUGAACAACUUGGGAUCAGAACAGCUUCUACUGGCAUGGAAGCGUCAGACGGCUGCAUGCAUAUAUGAGGUGAGGGGCCUGAACACGCUGCCCUCUCAGCUAAGGCAGCACAGCUUUUAUUUUGCUUGUUAGUUAGUCUCUGCUUCCCCAUAACUCUCUGCUGCGAGAAGCAGGAGCAGAAAAGAAGAUCUACAUUAAAUCCCACUCUGUGCCUUCAAAAGGCAGCAUCCUGCAUUGACUGUUAUCCUGACUCUUCUCCAUCCUAUGCGGCUGCACAGAGUUUAGCUCGUGAGUGACAGAAGCAGAGAAACUCCUGAAAGUGUCUUCCUGUCAGUGUGCCUCUUGUGCCCCUCUCCUGAAUUCCCAUUGCUUUCCUCCUGUUCCUGCUCUGCCGUGGGAGAAAUCGCCUACCUAUGACUGAUGAAAAGACUGUUCUCUCACCAGCAGCGCCCGGGGUGUACAAGUCUUUGCAGAUGCCUGUUUGGCAAUGGCGUGUAUGUGUUUAGAUAAACAAGGCAGUACAGAAGGAUCAUGGUUCGUGAGCAUCAGGGUUCUUGCUUUAUCACCACUGGUAGCAAAUCAGCUAAGCCCUGAACCUCCGUCUUCAGCUGCACAGCAAAGGUAGCGCUCUUCACAUCGUGCCCAUCUCAUCGGUACCCAAAGCAUAAAUCCAGCCUUAGAAGACAGAAUUUUUGAAGUCUGCUAUAUUCUAAAUAGAAAAGUUCUGCAUUCUUAGGUACUGGCAGCUAUUUUAAACAUCAGCCUAGGGAUUUUUUCCCUGUUUGGCAUCACUAGAGAAUUCAGGCAUUCUUUCGUAGUCUUUUAUUUCAUCCAUGACAAAUCAUUUCCUGCAGUGGAUACUGUGUCAGAAUUCACAUACCUCACACUUGCUGGAAGAAUAGUAUUUGACUCUUCGGAAAAGCUUCUGCUCUUGAACUGAAUAUCUGAUAAUGGAAAACAUGCUGUCGCUUGUUGUGAGCCUGGCCUUGGCAGUUGUUUUCUUUGAAAUGAGUUCUUUGUACUUCUGUCAAAUUCUAACAUAAUUUUAAAUUGGUUGACUUUUUCUAAUUCAAAGGCUAUUGGUAAGGAAGAGGAGGGAGACUCGGAAGCUGUGAGUUUUAUUGCCAGCUCUGCCACACUUUUCCUGCGUGAUCUUAGCACAUCACUUCAGAAAACAUCUCUUUGCCUUUUCUCUCUAAAAGGGGGAUACUAAUAUUCACCAGCUGUUCAGCAGUGUUGCUGUGAUUAACUCAUUAACCUAUGUAAAGGGAUCUUUGAUGUUCUGUAUAUAUGUGAAGCACAACAUUAGAGUUUGAGGGACUAUUAAAAUACCUUUGGUACUAUUUAGGGGUGGAGACACACUCGCAUCUCUCAGAGAAUGAAGAAAGGUGAAUUAAAGGAAAUCAAACAGGAUAUCUCCAGUCUUCGCUAUGAACUCCUGGAGGAUAAGUCCCAAGCAACGGAAGAGUUAGCAAU